rfam:Medicago truncatula strain A17 chromosome 4, whole genome shotgun sequence.
UGUCGAGGAAAUCCUCGAUAAUUAACUGCAGCCGAUUUUCUAAAACUUUGGCAGUUAACUGCCGAGGGGCAU